GUACUUACCUGGCAGGGGAAGAUGCUAUGAUCAUGAAGGUGGUUUUCCCUGAGUGGGGUUCAUCCAUUCAAGAUGUGCUGACUCCUGCAAAUUUCCCCAAAGUGGGAGGCUUGGCUGCAUACUUUGUGUCAGUGGGGAACUGUGUUUCUGCUUUUCCUUA